rnacentral:rRNA from 1 species
UGAGUACACGUGGGUAACCUGACCUAAGUGGGGGAUAACAUUUGGAAACAGAUGCUAAUACCGCAUAAAACCUAACACCGCAUGGUGUAGGGUUGAAGAUGGUUUCGGCUAUCACUUUGGGAUGGACCCGCGGUGCAUUAGUUAGUUGGUGAGGUAAAGGCUCACCAAGACCGUGAUGCAUAGCCGACCUGAGAGGUAAUCGGCCACACUGGGACUGAGACACGGCCCAGACUCCUACGGGAGGCAGCAGUAGGGAAUCUUCCACAAUGGACGAAAGUCUGAUGGAGCAACGCCGCGUGAGUGAAGAAGGUUUUCGGAUCGUAAACUCUGUUGUUGGAGAAGAAUGUAUCUGAUAGUAACUGAUCAGGUAGUGACGGUAUCCAACCAGAAAGCCACGGCUAACUACGUG